rnacentral:lncRNA from 10 species
AUAUUUUAUUAUAGAAAAAGCAUCCCAAAUACAGGAUUUCGUAAACACUGGUAGGUGAACAAGUGCAAUUUUAGAAGUAAAUGCAAAGUAAAGAGGCAAAACCUACAAGCAUUUUGCCUUCAGAAGAAGAUGUAGUGUUCUCCUGCACUAGUGAUCCCACCCAGAACACAAAUGUGGCUCUGUCUCCCGUGAAAGCAUCAGAUUUGCUUUCUGAGCUCAGUAUGCCCAUUUCAAUAAUUGCAAAGUGAUGGCAAGAAGUGGCGUUGAACACAUGACUACAGACCCUUGACUUAAAAUAUUGAGACAGGGACUUGCUCUGUCAUCCGGGCUGGAGUGCAGUAGCGUCAUCACAGCUCACUGCAGCCUCAUCCUCCUGGGCUCAAGCAAUCAUCCUGCCUCAGCCUCUUGAGUAGCUGGGACUACAGGUGUGCACUACCAUGUCCAUGCCUGGCUAUUUUUUUUUUUUCUUUUUGCGUUGUCCAGGCCAGAUGGUCUCGAUCUCCUGACCUCGUGAUCCACCCGCCUCGGCCUUCCAAAGUGCUGGGAUUACAGGUGUGAGCCACUGCACCUGGCCAUCUAUAAAUUUUUUUUUUUUUUUGAGAUGGACUCUUCCUCUGUCACCCAGGGUAGAGUGUAGCGG